rnacentral:lncRNA from 1 species
AGGCCUUUGCAAUACACUCCCUAGUGGUGCAACAUUAAGGAACCGUAGUGUGUUGUCAUGGCCUCCAAGAUGCAGUCAUCAGCCGCCCUAUUCCUCGCCCUGAACCUGCUCUUUUCCCUGGUCAGUGCCACGAACUGCCCGUCGCCGACCAAGCCCAAGCCGCGCCAUCCAACGCCGACGCCGACGACGCCGGUUCCCUCCGUGGGCAAGUGCCCCAUCGAUGCCCUCAAGCUCGGCGUCUGCGUCAACGUGCUUAAUGGCCUGCUCAACGUUCAGCUGGGGACCCCGCCGAAGGAGCCCUGCUGCACCCUAAUUAAGGGGCUGGCCGACCUCGAGGCCGCUCUUUGCCUUUGCACCGUCCUCAAGGCCAACGUCCUCGGGCUCAUCAGUCUCAACCUGCCCAUCAACCUCAGUUUGCUCGUCAACUACUGUGGGAAGAAAGUCCCCACCGGCUUCAUCUGCCCUUGAGAAGCCCGGCGUUCCCCCGCGUGCUUUCCCGUACAUGUUUUCUCUUUCUAUUUCUCUCCAUCUCUGUCUAGAAUCCAAGCGCGGUUCUUUGUUGCACCGCGUUUGUCUGUAUGCUUGCUUGUUUCUCUCGCUGGUGCAGCUGCCCGAAAGUGGGCAGUCUCGCUACAGGAGAUGGGUUGGAUCUUCUGUGACAUCUCGUCAUCUUCAUCAUCAGUAGGGGGGUUGAAAUGUGUAAUUU